rnacentral:rRNA from 1 species
UAAUACGUAGGGGGCAAGCGUUGUCCGGAAUCAUUGGGCGUAAAGAGCGUGUAGGCGGCUUGGUAAGUCCGCUGUGAAAGUCCAGGGCUCAACCCUGGAAUGCCGGUGGAAACUGUCAAGCUUGAGUCCGGAAGAGGCGAGUGGAAUUCCUGGUGUAGCGGUGAAAUGCGCAGAUAUCAGGAGGAACACCAAUGGCGAAGGCAGCUCGCUGGGACGGUACUGACGCUGAGACGCGAAAGCGUGGGGAGCAAACAGGAUUAGAUACCCUGGUAGUCCACGCCGUAAACGAUGGGCACUAGGUGUGGGGGGUGUCGACUCCCUCCGUGCCGACGCUAACGCAUUAAGUGCCCCGCCUGGGGAGUACGGCCGCAAGGCUA